GUGAACGCUGGCGGUAGGCCUAACCCCUGCCAGUCGAACGGCAGCACCGUAAGAGCUUGCUCUUACGGGUGGCGAGUGGCGGACGGGUGAGGAAUACAUCGGAAUCUACUUUUUCGUGGGGGAUAACGUAGGGAAACUUACGCUAAUAUCGCAUACGACCUACGGGUGAAAGCAGGGGAUCUUCGGACCUUGCGCGAUUGAAUGAGCCGAUGUCGGAUUAGCUAGUUGGCGGGGUAAAGGCCCACCAAGGCGACGAUCCGUAGCUGGUCUGAGAGGAUGAUCAGCCACACUGGAACUGAGACACGGUCCAGACUCCUACGGGAGGCAGCAGUGGGGAAUAUUGGACAAUGGGCGCAAGCCUGAUCCAGCCAUACCGCGUGGGUGAAGAAGGCCUUCGGGUUGUAAAGCCCUUUUGUUGGGAAAGAAAAGCAGCAGGUUAAUACCCCGCUGUUCUGACGGUACCCAAAGAAUAAGCACCGGCUAACUUCGUG
rnacentral:rRNA from 1 species